GACGACGCUGGCGGCGUGCUAUACAUGCAAGUAGAACGCUGAAGAGAGGAGCUUGCUCUUCUUGGAUGGAGUUGCGAACGGGUGAGUAACGCGUUAGGUAAACCUGCCUUGUAGCGGGGGAUAACUAUUGGAAACGAUAGCUAAUACCGCAUAACAAUGGAUGACACAUGUCAUUUAUUUGAAAGGGGGCAAUUGCUCCACUACAAGAUGGACCUGCGUUGUAUUAGCUAGUAGGUGAGGUAACGGCUCACCUAGGCGACGAUACAUAGCCGACCUGAGAGGGUGAUCGGCCACACUGGGGACUGAGACACGGCCCAGACUCCUACGGGAGGCAGCAGUAGGGAAUCUUCGGCAAUGGGGGCAACCCUGACCGAGCAACGCCGCGUGAGUGAAGAAGGUUUUCGGAUCGUAAAGCUCUGUUGUAAGUCAAGAACGAGUGUGAGAGUGGGAAGUUCACACUGUGACGGUAGCUUACCAGAAAGGGACGGCUAACUACGUGCCAGCAGCCGCGGUAAUACGUAGGUCCCGAGCGUUGUCCGGUUUAUUGGGCGUAAAGCGAGCGCAGGCGUUUGAUAAGUCUGAAGUAAAGGCUGUGCUCAACCAUAGUUCGCUUUGGAACUGUCAAACUUGAGGCAGAAGGGGAGAGUGGAUUCCAUGUGUAGCGGUGAAAUGCGUGGAUAUAUGGAGGAACACGGUGUCUAAACUGCUCUCUGUC
rnacentral:rRNA from 1 species